AAGAGGGCAUAAAGAACUGCUAAAUCCCACACCUGAGAUUAACCACUCAGACCUCUUAC
rnacentral:tRNA from 1 species